rnacentral:rRNA from 1 species
GUCGAGCGGUAGAGAGAAGCUUGCUUCUCUUGAGAGCGGCGGACGGGUGAGUAAUGCCUAGGAAUCUGCCUGGUAGUGGGGGAUAACGUUCGGAAACGGACGCUAAUACCGCAUACGUCCUACGGGAGAAAGCAGGGGACCUUCGGGCCUUGCGCUAUCAGAUGAGCCUAGGUCGGAUUAGCUAGUUGGUGAGGUAAUGGCUCACCAAGGCGACGAUCCGUAACUGGUCUGAGAGGAUGAUCAGUCACACUGGAACUGAGACACGGUCCAGACUCCUACGGGAGGCAGCAGUGGGGAAUAUUGGACAAUGGGCGAAAGCCUGAUCCAGCCAUGCCGCGUGUGUGAAGAAGGUCUUCGGAUUGUAAAGCACUUUAAGUUGGGAGGAAGGGCAUUAACCUAAUACGUUAGUGUUUUGACGUUACCGACAGAAUAAGCACCGGCUAACUCUGUGCCAGCAGCCGCGGUAAUACAGAGGGUGCAAGCGUUAAUCGGAAUUACUGGGCGUAAAGCGCGCGUAGGUGGUUUGUUAAGUUGGAUGUGAAAUCCCCGGGCUCAACCUGGGAACUGCAUUCAAAACUGACUGACUAGAGUAUGGUAGAGGGUGGUGGAAUUUCCUGUGUAGCGGUGAAAUGCGUAGAUAUAGGAAGGAACACCAGUGGCGAAGGCGACCACCUGGACUAAUACUGACACUGAGGUGCGAAAGCGUGGGGAGCAA